rnacentral:rRNA from 1 species
GAUGAACGCUGACAGAAUGCUUAACACAUGCAAGUCAACCGGAAAUGGGGUUCUUUACUUAGGUUUGGGUGGCGGACGGGUGAGUAACGCGUAAAGAACUCGCCUCCCUGCCAGGGAGAACAUUUGGAAACGCAGGCUAAUACCUAAUAUUAUGAUAAUAGGGCAUCCUAUAAUUAUGAAAGCUAUAAGCGCUGUGGGAGGGCUUUGCGUCCUAUUAGCUAGUUGGAGAGGUAACGGCUUACCAAGGCGAUGAUGGGUAGCCGGCCUGAGAGGGUGAUCGGCCACAAGGGGAUGGGGAAAGGGCCAGUACUCCUACGGGAGGAAGCGGUGGGAAAAUUUGGAAAUUGGACCGAGAGUCUGAUACAGCCAUUCUGUGUGGAAGAUGAGGUUUUUCGGUAUGAAAAGUGUUUUCAGUUGAGAAGAAGCAAGUGACGGUACCAACUGAAGAAGCAACGGCUAACUACGUG